rnacentral:lncRNA from 7 species
GCUCCUCACGCGACCGUCGAUGUUGCCGGAGCCACCUGUGCCUCGAGUGGCCACCGCCGCCGACUAUCAUGCCUCGCGCGACCGCUGGAUGGGUUCAUCGCUGCCAUGCGCACUUAGGGAACCUUCGUCGUCGAGCGCGCCUUUGGUCGCCACCACGAGCCUCUAGCCGCUCAUAGCUCCCUAGACCGCAGCUGGCGCUCGUGCCGCUGGGGUCGUCGUUGCCGCUUGCUCCUCGAGGAACCUCCGCUGCCGCAUGAAGGGGGCAAAGUCGCUCACUCGCAUCUCUAGGGCCGCGCCUCCCAGACCGCUGUCGUCGCUCGUGCCUCAGGUAACCGCCGCUACCACACGAGGGGGCAUCAUCGCUCGUGCGUUGCGAUGGAGGGCGUCAAAAAAUAAACCCUAGCGGUCUGGGGUUCCGUUUACAGACACCUCGAUAUGGUGCAACUGAACCAGAUGGCACCAUUGGACCAUGGCUUCCUCUAGUUAUUGGAAGCACAAGGCUCGUAAUAUACAAUAUAUAUAUAGUUGUGUUUUUGGGAAUAUUUUAGUUUUCACAAAUACUAAAUUUUAGGGAUUAAAAU